CAAAACUAAUUCUUCUCCAAACCUCCUUAUAUUUUAUAAACCCUUGUCUCAUUUCUUUCACAUAAAGUAAAUGCCAACUAAUGGCCAGCCAAGCAAAUUACACCUGUCGAUAGUACAUCCCACAAGAGACACAAGUGGAGGCAUGCAUGCAAGACUAACCACGCAUGCAUGCCAGAUGUAAUGUGUCUUCAAACCUGACAUAGCUAUUCACCCCACUAUAAAUAGGAGCCAUCCCUUUCACUGGACCAUUCUACCUCACACACACAUACGCCUGAGUACCGCCACCACUUGCCUUUUCACCUUCUGCCACACUGCCGUCCUUCACUGCGGUGAAGAUCUUUGGGUUACAUGCGCCACCAGGUACUAAUCAAGUAUCUUGUUGUGUUAGCCCUUCUUGCUUGAUUUCUUAUCUAUCUCCACCUCGGUUUGAAUCAGUCCAUGAGCAUCUAUUCACCUUGAUCUCUUUACCUUACUGUAAAAAGAACAAAAUGUUUGCAUAAACACCCAAGUUAGUCAAAACUAAUUAGAUCAAUUGCAAAAGCUUGUAAAAGUUUAUGUGAAUGACAUCUGUGGCUUGUACUAGAUAUAACAUGCCAAGAAUCAAAUCCUAGGUACUAGUAACUUGCUAAGACAUGCAUGUAUGUAUCCAAAAGAUCAACCUUCCUGUGUAUACUACCUGUCCCAAUUAUUAAUCCCUGCCAAUCUGUAGCAAACACUGAGAGAUUGAUGUUUAUAAUCUACUCACAAGUAAUUAUUUUUGGAGUUUCACUGCCACUGUUUACUUCUAUAUGGUGUUCAAGGAUGAGUAACACUAGUUAGGAACAACAUUUAGAUCUAAUCAGUAGCAAUACCAUGACCACACCAUAGAUUAAAUCUUGAUUAAUUUCUUGGCCUUGAGAUAAACAAAGAGAAAGAAAGCAAUAUGGCUGAGUGGGGAAUAGUAGGGCCUGGGAUAAAAUGAACAAUAUAUGCACACCCACGUUCACUGAUAGCAGGCACUUGUUGUGAAAUUUGGAGCACUUCAUGGAGAAGGAAUCAGGAUUAGUACUUACCAGUAGUAGCAGUAGGAUGUGGCUAGUCCACACCGUUAGCAGCAGAGCCAUGGCGACCGAGCUGCGCCGGUGAAGCCGCACGCGCCCGACACCCGUGGCUGCACGCCUCGUGCGUGUGGCUGCGCUGGGGGAGGAUGUAGGCAUGGAGACGUUGUUGCCGCUACAGCCGGUGGCAAGCCCACCGGACCUGGAUCAGGCGGCGCUAGGAUUGAGUGGUGGUGACGUUUUUGGCGGCGGCAGAUCAAAUAAAUAGGGGGAUAUGGUAGAGGGAGACGAGGAAAAUAUGUAGGUAUCUGCCGUGUCGCCGGAGAUGCCCGGACGGGGCAGAUCGAGGCGACGACGGCCGUGCUCUGUUCUUGGGGGAGAGAGAGAGGUGAGUGGGCUGGUUCUGUUCGUGGGACAACGAGAAGUUAAGUAGUCUCUCUGGAUAGACACGGGCCUUAACCAGCGAAGUACUAAUAGUACAGUACUGGGCUACUGUUCUUUUUACUUAUCAUUUCAUUUACCACUCUCUGGACUGGAUGACAUACGUGCAUGCUACUCUGUUUUGGAUGGCUUAAUGCAUUUUAUCUCUCAAUGGAAAACUAGGACGUAUCACCACUUAGUUACUUACAUGUGGCCUGCUCAACAUGGCCGUGUUGCUGGAUGUUAGAUUUUUAAUUAGGAAAAUAAAUAAUAAUAUAAACAUGUUCCUGAAAUAAUUAUCAGGAGUCGAUCUCGGACCCGUAGGAGCCACGUCUGGUGGUUCCGAGUUGAUCGAAGCACUAUCCGGCAAGUCGUCAUCUCCUUGACCAUGUCUUGAUAAAUGUUUUCCGGGCUAUGGGUCAUUUCUAAAAUUUUGCAUAAGAAUUAAAAAUAAAUAUUUUUCAUAAAUGAAGUAAGAUUUGGAUCAGGUGGCUCAAUACUUUCAAAGUGGAGCCGAAGAUGAUCAAGCGACGGCACACAGAGUGCGGAGGCGCUGUUAUAAGCAAAAAUGCUGAUGCUCCAUGGCCCGAGGGCUGUUUUCAAGAGGAGCUAGGCUUGUAGCAACGAGAGUGGUUUUAUAUCACUGCUCCCCGAAGCACCAAGUGGGUGGCGCUUCCUGCCUUUCGCUCGGGUCCCCCACCACGGCUAGCGUCAUGGGUUAACAGAGGGUUAGAUUGUGGUUUGCCAAAAGACGUGCCCUUGUUACAGGGCCGCAUUAAGGAUCUCUUGGAAGGAGACCUCAGCCUGGUUAAGGUGACACAGAUCAUGCUGAUUCGCCGAAUAUUGCCUGGCAAACAUCGCUCCCUUCGCUUGUGGGAGUUUAAUCCAGAGGGACCGCGAGCUCUCCAAAAUUUCAUGGGCGCAACGCCCGCGGAGAUGUAUAAACUGUUCUUCGGAUCACAAGAGAUGUGUCCAGAUUUAACCGAGGACGUAGGCCUAAGCUGCAAUCGCCCGGAUACUCAAGUAAGCAACCUUGUGCCCGGACCUUCUAUCUGUAUAAUUGUCAUAAACUUGCCCCUAAAAGAGCCGUCCUUUUAAACAGGAGUGGAUAGCGAAGGCAAAGCUGAUCAGGUGUCCGGCUUCCCUUCCCGAAACCAGGCCGGAUCCCGUGCUGGUCAGGAUGCUGGAGAUAAUGCCUUUGGAGGGAAGCAAGGGGGAGGACAAGGAAACUAUGGCCUCCUCGAAGGAGGCUGCUCUGAAGGGAGGAACCGACAAUUCCUCUCCUAAGGGGAAGAAGAGAGCCGCCUCUGACGACCCGAAAACCAUGGCUUCGAAGCGGGGGAAAAAAUCCUCGUCAGAGGGUCCGAUGCCUGGGAGUUCCUCGGCCGGACUACGCCCUCAAGGGGAUCAGCCCUCCAGCGAGCCGUAAGUAGAGAAAGAUUGUCCUUUUGAGGGAUGAGGGAAAUCCUUGAUUUAUAUCUGAGAAGAUUAACCGAAUUUUUACCUUGUAGCUUGGACCUCAGCCCUUCUCAGCAGAGCUCGUCUUCGAGGGAUCUCCUUCCGGAGAUUAUGGAGAGCGGGACGCCUCCCCCUUCCGUGCCGCCUAGCGAGGCGGGCGACCCUGAGGUGUCGUCGCGGAGGGUUUCUCCGAAUCCGGCAGGGGCGGAAGAUAGCUAUGUGGCCCCCCGAGGUUCUCCGCGUCCGGCCUUCGAAAGAGGUCGUGGGACAAGUCCGGCACCGUCUGGUGCUCGGCCGGAGGAGCUGAAGAUUCUGCUGGGGCAAGCUUCUAUCUCGGAGGAGCACCGUGCAUUGAUGGGCACGGUGAUUGAAAAGAUCUCAUCCGCAGAGAGCGGAUUGCAUGAGGCCGUCAAAAGUUUACUGACGGGUUUUGAGGUACAUUAGAUAAUGUACACUUUUGUCAGUUGCGCAUGAAUAAGAUGCGCCCUGUGUAGAUAGUAGCCCCUGAGACUCUGCGCGUCGUCAAGAAAUGACGGCACACAGAGGAUCAUAAUCCCAGGUCUAAGAUGUCGCCUUUGGAUGUAGGCGGCAGGGUGUCCGGAAUCGAGCCGAACUGAAAAUUUUGCCGAACUAAAGCGGCAACUGGACGUGGCAGAUGCCGACAUCACGCUUGUUAAUAAGCGGCUUGAUGAGGUUCAAGGUAUGUAAUUCCUCGGGCGGCAUCAGGUAAGAACAGUUUUAUGCCUGUGUCUUACGAUGUGUGUGCUUGACGCAGAUGGUGCGGCCGCCGUGGAGAGUCUUAGGGCAGAACUUGCCCGAGCUAAAGAACAAGCCAGAGAAAGUGAUGCGGCUGCCAAGAAAGCCCCUGAAGAGCUGAGAGCCGAACAGGUUGCUCAUUGCCGAAGCAAGGAAGAGAUGGCUGAAAAGGUAAAGAGUGCUGCAGACCGUUGCGGACUUCUUGAGAAAGAAGACCAGGCGAAAUAGACGGACUUAGAGAAGGCCAUUGCCAAUGCCAAGGACGCGCGCUCUGCGAUGAGAGCUGCGAAGGAGGAGCUGCGUCAGGCCGAACAGAUUGCGGCUGGAAAGCCCUUUAUGCUGCGAAGUAAAUUUUGCGAUCCGAAGUUUGCUCCGUUGGACCAGAUGUGGAGUGUGGAGGAUACCUAUCUGGAUUUGGCAGCGAGUGCUGCUGAUGUGACCGAACACUUUCGAGAUCAGAAAGAUUGCGAAGUGGAAAAGCUUUUCUGGUCGCAGUAUCACAAUCCAGAGCGUCCACUGGCAGUGGACGGUCGUUUGGCUCAAUGGGCCGAACUGAAUAGGUUGUCCGGACUCGCCAUGAAGUACGUCAUGGGUCAUCUGUGGCCGGGGAGAUCGGAGCCGAAGAGUUAUUUCAGCUUGGUGCAACAAUUCCUUGACGCGGUGCCACGUAUUAAUGCAAUGAAGAGGUCAGCGUGCAUAGAGGGCGCAAGGAUGGCUCUUGCCCAUGUCAAGACAUACUGGGCAGAGAUGGAGACCACCGUUGUUGCGUCCCGAGAUUUGGACAAAAGCCGAGUACCCUCCGAGCACUAUUUUCAGGAAGUCCUUGAAGGCGCUCGUGUAAUAGAGACGCAGUGCUCAAAAGAUGCUAUGUUAGGAUAGCGUAUGUAAUUAUAAAGUAAUAUUUUGAUAAAUUGUAGCGGCCUUUUUAUACUUGUGCCUUCAAGUAUUGGGAACACCUCCUGUGCGGCCGUUUUAAGAUAUAUACAAAAUCUGAAAGAUGGCAGUCGUUGGCUUCAGCCCCCACGCACAUAGUGCGGGGGUGCUCGCAGAAGACGCAUUUUCACACUUAACCCAACGUCUUGGUCCUACAAAGGAGGUGAUAGCGCAGCGGGCCAGGCAACCAGACUAUAAUGCUUUAACACUUUCACUUAGCCAUAGGAGCUUGACAGUGAGACUAUUUAGGUAGCCCCUUGGUGGCGACUGCGCUCGCCCAAGUUCGGGGCGCGUAUGUGCCUGACCGGGAAGCGGCCCUUCGUUAAAGCGGAGGAAUCCGAUAGAUUCCGAUAGGUCAUCAAGUGGCUGACCAGUCUCACGCUACAUCAUGACAGUCAGUUUUCGGCUUUCUCUACUGAGGUGCUCGCCCGGCCGAAUCGGGGCACAAUCGCAGUAGUUCUCCUGGUGCUACCUUAGCCAAUAGAGCGAAACGUAAGGUAGCCAAACUCAGGAGCCGGGCAACCCAACAUUUGACCAAAGACAUGAUUUGGAGCUGAUGCAUAUAAUGCCAAAACUCGCGACGCCGAACACUCCCUAAGGUGUUCGGUCUUUAUGAGUGCGGGCGAAACAACACUCUUUAUUAUUAAAAAAGCCCCUAGUGUCCAGGUACAUGCAAAAAUUCUGACGUGGCCACAUGCCAAGACGCCAGCCUCCUCCUUGGUUAUAUCAGAAAGAAAAAACCAGGGGAUGUGUAGCAACAAGAGACAGUAAAAAAGGUUUACGCAGGGUCUUAAUCUAAAAAGAAUCCUUUAGGACGGGUCCCUACUGCACGUCUGCGCUUGUGUCUCCGUUGUUCCGUAUCCUGGACGGGCGCCGCACGACGUUCAUCUGUAAAAGAGAGGAACUGAGUUGAAAACGGGUCGUGCCGAACAAAAGUUUAAAAGAAACAAAGUAUAAAGUAAAAUAUAUAAGAUUGAGCUUUAUUGUCUCUUAUUGUAUAUGCGUGGAGCCCCUAGUGCGGGGGUAUAUGGCUUCUAGGCCUGCAUCAAUGAUGAUUUUGCGCCGAACUCGUCUAUCCGCGUCCGUGGUCUUGAAUGACCUAUUUCUAAGUUUUUUGGCCGUUGAGGCCAUUUUGCUGUGGGGCUGUCAAAGCGGCCGCACAGUCCUCCGCUUGGGGAGGUGCACUUUAGUGCUUCCCCUUCAAAGAGAUGAUGUCUCGUGGACCGGGCAUCUUAAGCGUAAGAGAUGCAUAAUGCGGUAUUGCGUUAAAGCGAGCGAAAGCUUCGCGUCCCAGUAGUGCUUGAUAGCGACUUGAGAACGGGACGAUAUGGAAGGUCAGCUUUUCGCGGCGGAGGUUAUCGGCAGAGCCGAAUAUGACUUCGAGCCGGAGGAAACCCAUACAAUGGGUGUCCGGACCAGGUAUUACCCCUUGAAAGGAGGUUUUGCUGCGGCGGAUUCUUGCUGGGUUUAUCCCCAUGUGCUGAAUUGUAUCCUGAUACAUCAGGUUUAGUCCACUGCCGCCAUCCAUAAGGACAUUUGAAAACUGGAGUCCGCCAAUUAUUGGAUCGAGUAUCAAGGCAGUCCAGCUUACAUUCUUGAUAUUUCUAGAAUAAUCUAGCUGAUCGAAGAUGAUCGGUUUUGACAACCAGUGGCAGGACCCUUUGGGGAUGGGCCGUGUGGUGCGUACCUUUACGGGCGCCGCACGUUUUGUUAUGUGAAGUGAGUUCACUGUUUUUACUUCUUGUAGGAAGUUCUUUUGUUUCCUGGUGCUCUGCUUUUGGGGUUCGUCCUCGUCUUCGCUUGGUGUGUCGAGCCCCUUAUGUUCGGCAUUGAGUCUGCCGGAUUGUUUGAAAACCCAACAUUCUCUGUGGGUAUGGUUAGCAGGCUUCCCGGGAGUACUGUGUAUCUGACAUAUCCUGUCUAGGAUUUUAUUUAGGUUGGAUGGAUCGUCCCUGUUAUCCUGGGGGGGCGAUUUUUCCUGAUUUUGUCGUGAGCCUUUGAAUCCGGCAUUGACUGCCGUGCUCUUCGGACUUUUGUCCUUAGUCCAGCGACGGUCCUUGUUGCGUCGCGGUUUUCCGUUUCCAUCCCUAGUUUCGGAUGUACUUGGGUCGCUGGGGCUGCACCUUGCCAACCAGCUGUCCUCCCCUGCACAAAAGCGGGUCAUGAGGCUUGUUAGUGCGGCCAUUGUUCUUGGCUUUUCUUGGCCGAGGUGUCUUGCGAGCCAUUCAUCUCGGACGUUAUGCCUGAAAGCUGCUAAGGCUUCGGCGUCCGGACAGUUGACUAUCUGAUUCUUUUUAGUGAGGAAUCUAUUCCAGAACUGCCGAGCUGAUUCUCCGGGUUGUUGAGUUAUGUGACUAAGAUCGUCUGCAUCCGGAGGGCGGACAUAGGUCCCUUGAAAGUUUGCUCGAAAAGCAUCCUCGAGCUCUUCCCAGCUUCCAAUUGUGUUUUCGGGAAGGCUUUUAAGCCACUGUCUGGUUGGCCCUUUAAGCUUAAGGGGUAAAUAUUUUAUGGCGUGGAGAUCAUCUCCUCUAGCCAUGUGUAUGUGGAGGAUAUAAUCCUCGAUCCAAACUCCAGGGUCUGUUGUUCCAUCAUAUGCCUCUGUGUUUACGGGUUUGAAUCCCUCUGGGAAUUCAUAGUCCAGGACCUCAUCGGUGAAACAUAGGGGGUGUGCGGCGCCCCUGUAUUUGGGUGUGCCAGAUUCUGAUGAUGGCUUCAUAGCGUUGCUUAAGAGAGCUUGCUUUCUUGGCCCAUAAAUGGACCCGACUGGGCCAUGAUGCGAAUACUUAAGUGGGUCGCAUGCCGAUUUAUGUGCGGCGCCGCUUGCCGCUUUAUGGGGUCGUCUAUCCGACCGUGUGGCUUUCUCAUUUCUUGAAUGCGAGGGCUCUAGGGCCUCUUCGUCGAAUUCAGGCAGUGGCUUUCAUUUCGGAUAGCUUUUAGUGCGGCGACUGUCGCCAUAUUUAUCUGCGGUAUUGAUUACUUUGCUCCAUCUAAUCCGGAGUGCAUCUUCCGCUGUUUUAGCUUCCGCUUCUGCUUUUUUAGGCUGCGUGCAGUUGUAACGAGCCUCUCGUGGAGAUUCUUCUGCUCCAUAGGUUUAUCCGGCGUGAGGUCGUCUGGAAUGCCGUUUUCGCCGGAGGAGGGAUGUUCGGUUUCUCUAUCCGUGUUGCCCAGUUCGGACGGUUGCUCUAAGGCCUGCUCGUCGUCUACCGGCUCGUCCUGCUCUAUGGCUGGGUUUUUGUCGAGGCGGGGCUUGGGUCGGCGUUUACGCUGAUGCUUUGAUUGCUUUUCGGGGGGUCGAUCUCCCGUCCCAUCCCCUUUUUCAUCGUUGUCGCUUCCUUUAGGGGUAUCCACCAUGUACACAUCGUGAGAUGAGGUGGCUGUCCAAUGCCCUAUGGGCGUUGGUUCAUCGGUAUCUCCUGCAUCGUCAUCCAUGCUGUCGAUGUCUCCGGAGUCGAAGUUGAGCACGUCGUUUAAAUUUUUGAUAGUGGCUACCAAGUGGGUGGUGGGUGGGCUUUGAAUUUCUUCCUCGUCCGUAUCCCAUCCUCGCUGACCGUAGUUCAGCCAGGGCUCUCCUGAUAAAGAGAGAGACUUGAGAGAGUUCAGGAUAUCGUCAAAAGGCGAGUGCUGAAAGAUGUCUACGGCGGUGAACUCCAUUAUCGGCGCCCAAUCGGAUUCGAUCGGCAGGGGCGCGGGGGGUUCGGAGUCCGGGGAGGAGUCCGGAUCCUCGGAGUCACGGGUCGCGCAGAGUGCGGGGCUAGCAUUUGGCUCGAUCGCUUUUGGGAUCGCAGCCCCCAAGGUGACGUCCAACCGCUCAUCCUCGAUUGGCGCAAUAGGUUCCGAUUUAGGAGUCGGAACCAAUGCGUGUGCGGCCUCCAGGACACUGUCCGGGGGCAGAGCUAGAUCAUGCCCCUCGAGAUAGUGCGGCGUGCUUGGCCAUGGCUCGAGCCCGUCGAAGAUCAAGUCUCCCCGAAUGUCAGUCGUGUAGUUUAAGCUUCCAAACCUGACUUGAUGGCCAGGGCGUAGCUUUUGAUCUGCUCCAGGUGGCCGAGCGAAUUGGCCCGCAGAGCGAAGCCGCCGAAGACGAAGAUCUGUCCGGGGAGAGAAGUCUCACCCUGGACCGCAUCGUUCUUGAUGAUCAAAGGAGCCAUCGGGCCUAAAGGCGACGACACAGAGGAACUCUCAAUGAAAGCAUCAAUGUCGGUGUCAAAACCGGUGGAUCUCGGGUAGGGGGUCCCAAACUGUGCGUCUAUGCCGGAUGGUAACAGGAGGCAGGGAACACGAUGUUUUACCCAGGUUCGGGCCCUCUCGAUGGAGGUAAAACCCUACGUCCUGCUUGAUUAAUAUUGAUGAUAUGGGUAGUACAAGAGUAGAACUACCACGAGAUCAAGGAGGCUAAACCCUAGAAGCUAGCCUAUGGUAUGAUUGUUGUAUAUGGAGUUGAUUGCCAACGGACUACAACCCUCCGGUUUAUAUAGACACCAGAUAGGGUUAGGGUUACACAGAGUCGGUUACAAUGGUAGGAGAUCUUGAAUAUCCGCAUUGCCAAGCUUGCCUUUCACGCCAAGGAAAGUCCCAUCCGGACACGGGACGAAGUCUUCAAUCUUGUAUCUUCAUAGUCCAGGAGUCUGGCUGAAGGUAUAGUCCGGCUACCCGAACACCCCCUAAUCCAGGACUCCCUCAACCAGCGACCACCAGGAUUGUUGCAACCUCUCCAAAUUCCGCAAUGGAAAUGGGAGGAAAUCCACAUGGACUUUAUCACCGGACUGCCCAAGACAAGAAAUCGAGAGGAAAUCAUAUGGGUCAUAGUUGACCGACUCACUAAAUCUGCCCAUUUUAUCCCUUUAGCCCCGGGUUGCUCCAGAGAAAAAUUGGCUGAGCUAUAUAUCCACAGGAUAGUAGCUCUACAUGGAACACCUUCUAGAAUAGUAUCAGAUCGUGGAUCUAUGUUUACAUCCAAGUUCUGGGAAAAAUUACAAGAAGCAUUAGGAACAAAAUUGGAUUUUAGUAUUGCUUACCACCCCCAGACUAGCGGUCAAGUCGAGAGGGUGAACCAAAUCAUAGAAGACAUGCUAAGGGCUUGUGUGCUAGAUUUUGGUGACUCAUGGAGCAAGCACUUACCCUUAGCAGAGUUCGCGUAUAACAAUAGCUACCAAGCUAGUAUUGGUAUGUCCCCAUUUGAAGCCUUAUACGGUCGAAGAUGCCGAACCCCAAUAUGUUUGGUGGAAACCGGAGAAAAGAAACUCUUAGCACCCGACUUGGUCCAAGAAACCGAGGAAAAAGUCCGUAUAAUUAGAGAGCGGCUCAAGACAGCACAAAGCCGGCAAAAGAGCUAUGCGAACAGGAGUCGACCCGAUAUACAAUACCAACCCGGAGACUUUGUUUAUUUAAAAGUCUCACCAAUUAUAGGUGUCAAGCGCUUUGGAGUACAAGGAAAACUAAGUCCGCAAUAUAUUGGUCCCUAUCGGAUCUUAAAAAGAAGAGGGACAGUGGCAUACAAAUUAGAAUUGCCAGCGCACCUACAAGGGGUUCAUGAUGUAUUUCAUGUUUCCCAAUUACGCAAGAGUGUAAAGCCACCAUUUGAGAGAGUCUUAGAGGAAGAACUAACCCUACGAAAGGACCUAAUGUAUGAGGAGCAUCCUAGUCGUAUUUUGGACACCGAGGAAAAGAAACUCAGGAGUAAAACAAUUAAAUAUUGCAAGGUGCAAUGGGGAAAUCAUCCGAUGCGAGAAGCGACUUGGGAAAAAGAAGAUGACCUCCGAGAAAAAUAUCCUUACCUUUUCGAGGUGCGACUCAAAAAAUUUCGAGGACGAAAUUUUCUCUAAGGGGGAAAGGAUGUAAAAACCGUAAAUAUAUAUAUAUAUAUAUAUAUAUAUAUAGAUAUAUAUAUAUAUAUAUAUAAAUUAGAUAACGAUAAUUUCAACGAUGUUGCCAAAACAUUAAUUAAAAUAAUAGAAACAACUACAUUUAUUAUUACAGCAAAUAGCAUUUAGUCAUGCAAAACUAAUUCUUCUCCAAACCUCCAUAUAUUUUAUAGACCCUUGUCUCAUUUCUUUCACAUAAAGUAAAUGCCAACUAAUGGCCAGCCAAGCAAAUUACACCUGUCCAUAGUACAUCCCACAAGAGACACAAGUGGAGGUAUGCAUGCAAGACUAACCACGCAUGCAUGCCAGAUGUAAUGUGUCUUCAAACCCGACAUAGCUAUUCACCCCACUAUAAAUAGGAGACAUCCCUUUCACUGGACCAUUCUACCUCACACACACAUACGCUGGAGUACCCCCACCACUUGCCUUUUCACCUUCUGCCACACUGCCGUCCUUCACUGCGGUGAAGAUCUUUGGGUUACAUGUGCCACCAGGUACUAAUCAAGUACCUUGUUGUGUUAGCCCUUCUUACUUGAUUUCUUAUCUAUCUCCACCUCGGUUUGAAUCAGUCCAUGAGCAUCUAUUCACCUUGAUCUCUUUACCUUACUGUAAAAAGAACAAAAUGUUUGCGUAAACACCCAAGUUAGCCAAAACUAAUUAGAUCAAUUGCAAAAGCUUGUAAAAGUUUAU
rnacentral:lncRNA from 1 species